rfam:Afipia broomeae ATCC 49717 genomic scaffold supercont1.1, whole genome shotgun sequence.
GGAGAGGUGGCUGAGUGGCUUAAGGCACCGCGUGCGGUACACGGGCAACCGUGUCGGAGGUUCGAAUCCUUCCCCUCUCCG